ensembl:lncRNA
GUGAAAAAUUCAGACAACUGGGGGAUAAAGUCUAGUGUUAAGCCCAGCCUUAUGACUUCCUUGUACAAAGGGUACCAGAGAUUUGUGCACCCCUUAACCAUGAGGGGAUUUAGCCAUAUGUCCUGGAAUGCCAAAUUCCAAUAACCAAAUUGGACUCAAAUUGUGUCCACGUGAUCCGCAAAAACAACUCUCUCUAUGAUCAUUGAAGAAGACAGCAGAAAGAAGGGCCAUGACUAUUUCAGGACAAACUGAAAACUGGCUAAAUAAUUACCUCAAUUGAAACAAUAACAAAAGUGGUCACCUCACUUGUUUUGGUAAAAAUCUGAGGGAUGGGCCUGGAGAAAUGCAACCACUCUCAAACUCAUAAGACAGAGCUAUUGAGGCAACGAAUCACCAUCCAUCAUGUCGAAAUUAUAGUUUUAACUACACAUUGUUUGUUUACAUUUACAUUGUUUGCAAACAGUGGAGUAAAAAAAGCUUAUAUGUUGAGUUCUGAUGUGGUACGACUGUUGAAAUAAGCUCCUGGAGCAUUCAAAAGUUAUAUUCUUCAAGAAUCAAUGGGUAUACAGUGCAUUCGACAAGUAUUCAGACCCAUUCGACUUUUCCCACAUGUUGUUACAUUACAGCCUUAUUCUAAAACGGACUAAAGUUUUCCUAAUUGUUUAUAAACUAAAACUGUCCAAUGAGGCACAAGGACCCAAACCAGUAACUCAUUUAGCAGAACCAUACACCAAAUCUGCAAUACUACUGGCAUACGUUUCGCUUUACACUCAGAUUGCAAUUCCAUAACAAACGUUUCGCAAAACACAACACACAAUUCUCUACCUUUGGCGCCUACCUUCACAACUAAAAUAUCUUGUGAGCAAAUGAAAAGCAACACUGUUUAAUAACAAGCUAAGCUCAAUUACCAAUUAAUCACUUUCACAUGUGCAAACACUAAUCGUGUAAAUGUUCACUUUGCAAUCAAACCUUUGGUCUGGAUAAAAAGGCCACAGGUGAAUACUCCUGUGUUUGGAGAACAAUGGAAGCAAACUUGGCAGAAAAAGGUGGAGGAAGAACAAGAUCAAGAACAAGGAGAGUAAUCUCUGAUGAAAUUCAGGCAACUGUGGUCAACCAUGGUUUGACCUUGAGAGAGCCUGGGCAGAGAGUGCAGCCCAAUCUGAGCCGCUUCACCAUAGCAUCCGGAUGUUCCAAAAUGAGAAAAGAACUGAAAGACGACCCCCACUUGGUGGUAGAACGUGUCGGUUCACAGAUGAACAGGAGGCUGUCAUUGGGCAAAUGGUAGUUGAAAAUAAUGCCAUAAGACUGUGGGGAAAUCCAACAACAGGCUAUUGAAAACUAUGCCAUGUUCCAUAACAUCAGAGUGAACUUAUCAACCAUAGCCCGCAUCCUUAAAAAACAUCUCCGGAUGAAGCAAAUCUACAGAGUCCCAUUUGAAAGGAAUUUUCAAAGAGUGAAGGUUAAACGGUACGAAUAUGUGCACAGAAUCAUGGAGUUGGAUACAAGUCCCAUCCCCCAGGAACUCAUACUCAUAGAUGAGGUUGGAUUCAAUUUAGCGACGAUGAGGAGAGGAAGGAGCAUCAUUGGUCAACGCGCUAUCAUUGAGGUACCUGGCCAGCGUGGGCCAGAGCAGAAAGGGCCAGGUGAUCCUGAACAGCAAAUGCAUGUUCUAAUUUGGGACAACGUGAAUUUCCAUCGGGCUGCUCAGGUCCUCAACAGGUUCCCCAUGACCAUCCCAGGUUUACAAUUCUCUAUCUCCCACCCAUAUUCCCCAUUGAAGAGUAGUUUUCAGCAUGGCGGAGGAAGGUGUAUGAAACCCCAUGAACGUAUGGCCCUUCUCCAGGCAAUGGAGGAGGCCUGUGGUGACAUUCCAGCAGAGUCCUGUCAAGGGUGGAUGAGUCAUGCCAGAAGCUAUUUUCCAAACUGUCUGGCCAAGGAGAAUAUCGCCUGUGAUGUUGGUGUAAAUCUGUGGCCCGGACCAAAACAACAGACAUGACUGAUUUUGCAGUGGUGUAAAACAAUUAAGUAAAAACACUUUAAAGUACUACUUGAGUAGUUUAUUUGG